rnacentral:rRNA from 1 species
CCUACGGGUGGCAGCAGUGAGGCAUAUUGGUCAAUGGGCGCGAGCCUGAACCAGCCACGUAGCGUGAAGGAUGACUGCCCUACGGGUUGUAAACUUCUUUUAUAAAGGAAUAAAGUGAGGCCCGUGUGCCUUUUUGUAUGUACUUUAUGACUAAGGAUCGGCUACCUCCGUUCCAGCAGCCGCGGUAAUACGGAGGAUACGAGCGUUAUCCGGAUUUAUUGGGUUUAACGGGAGCGUAGAUGGGUUGUUAAGUCAGUUGUGAAAGUUUGGGGCUCAACCGUAAAAGUGCAAUGGAUACUGGCAGUCUUGAGUACAGUUGAGGUAGGCGGAAUUCGUGGUGUAGCGGUGAAUGAUUAGAUAUCACGAAGAACUCCGAUGGCGAAGGCAGCUUACUAAACUGCCACUGACAUUGAUGCUCGAAAGUGUGGGUAUCAAACAGGAUGAGAUACCCUAGUAGUC